rnacentral:misc_RNA from 1 species
GUUGAAGAACGUAGCGAAAUGCGAUAAGUAAUGUGAAUUGCAGAAUUCAGUGAAUCAUCGAAUCUUUGAACGCACAUUGCGCCCCCUGGUAUUCCGGGGGGCAUGCCUGUUCGAGCGUCAUUUCACCACUCAAGCCUCGCUUGGUAUUGGGCAACGCGGUCCGCCGCGUGCCUCAAAUCGACCGGCUGGGUCUUCUGUCCCCUAAGCGUUGUGGAAACUAUUCGCUAAAGGGUGUUCGGGAGGCUACGCCGUAAAACAACCCCAUUUCUAAGGUUGACCUCGGAUCAGGUAGGGAUACCCGCUGAACUUAAGCAUAUCAAUAAGCGGAGGA